rnacentral:rRNA from 1 species
AUACGUAGGGGGCAAGCGUUAUCCGGAUUUACUGGGUGUAAAGGGAGCGUAGGUGGCAUAGCAAGUCAGACGUGAAAGCCCAGAGCUUAACUCCGGGAUUGCAUUUGAAACUGCUAAGCUAGAGUACAGGAGAGGCAAGUGGAAUUCCUAGUGUAGCGGUGAAAUGCGUAGAUAUUAGGAGGAACACCAGUGGCGAAGGCGGCUUGCUGGACUGUUACUGACACUGAGGCUCGAAAGCGUGGGGAGC